UAUUAAAAAUUCAUCCAUUUGUACUAUUAAAAAUUGACAUGGCUAGCGGAAUAAUUAGAUAGUGACACAUGAUGUGGCACGUGUACCUCAUUUUGAUGAACAAUAACUGUAGAAAUGAAUGAAAUUUUUAAUA
rfam:Gossypium hirsutum cultivar TM-1 scaffold4396.1_1, whole genome shotgun sequence